CUCCUGUCAUGAGGGUCAGGCAAUUCUGUGAACAGCACCAAAGGCGGGCCCUGAAGGGGAAGGCCCCCUUCCAGGUGUGGGCGGGGCCAGAAGGGGAAGCAACUGGAAUUUCCAGCACGGCAGUGGCGCGAGCUGCGCUUGCAGAGGCGGGGCCAACCCCGGCGACGUACCAGCCGCAGAGUGGGAGGCCGGACCCAGUGCGGAGUUUGACAGUGGACCCCGUCUCUUCGUGGGAGGAGGACCGCAAGUUCGUCCUGCGGGGCUGGUGUCUUGUCUUCAGCAUUCUGGCGACCCUGAUGGUGCUCAGCGUGUUGGAUGGGCGUAUGGCCUACUUGCAGGGCUCCUACACGGGCUACCUGGGCUUCUGGACUGACUGCAGGAAGCACAAGUGUGUCAGCCUGGGCCAAGUCACCGUUCUCAUCCACAUGAGCAUGGGCUUCAUGAUGCUGGCCCUGGUCCUGUGUCUAGUCCUCCUCCCCACCAUGAGCCUCUCCUUCCGGCCAGUGUUCCGCCGCCUUAACAAGGCUGACCUUGUCUUCAGUUCCCUCAGCUUAAGCAUUGAAACUUGACUAAGGAAAGGAGAGUUUUUGCCUUUUGCCACAGUUACCAGGAAGCCCAGAACUUGUAGAUUAAGAACAUGGAGUCACCCUUGAUCACCUAGUGUGUGCUGCAUCCUUUCACCGGAGGUCAGAGAGUCCUUUUCCCAGGGCCACGCACUAUUGAAUCAGUUCAUUAUGCAUCAUCUCAUUUAGUCGUCCCCACAGCCCUAUGGGGUGCCAUGAUCAACUAGCCAAUGCUUGAGUCUCUGUGACCAUGUGAUCAGAUGAUUCCGGUUACUGCUUUGACUCUGAUGUCUAGUGCAGCAACCACAUCCACGUGUCUUGGUGAUUAGGUGCUACCACUUGGCCCCCUAACACCACAGGACCCAAUUAUCUCCAUUGCACUUAGGUUUCCCAUUCAGUAGCCUCUCUUCCUACUGUACUUUCUGACCUACAGAGAAGAGCGAUCACAGAACUCUCCAAGGAUGCUGGCUCCCCUUGAAAAUUUAUUUGUCAUAAUUGUGAUGAAAAAUGUGUCUCUGGAGCCCCCAGCAUGGGCGAGCAGGUCUCAAAUAUAUAUUUGUUGUAACAUCCCAUCUCCUGAAGUCUUUGGGUUUCUUUCUCCAUAGUUUAUCAAGAUGGUUCUACCAUUUCAACUUCAUCUAGUGCAGGGCCACCUUUUGAUCCAUAUUUCAGCCAACAAAACAAAUAACCAGAGACCUUCUGACCCCUCAAUCUGCAAGAUGAAAUCCAGAAUUUCUGCUUAGUGAGCCCUUAUCAAUAAAUUCCAAUCAGGUGUGGGUGCUGGGUGUAGCUCGGUAGUAGAGUGCAUGACCAGCAUGCACAAGGUCAUGGGUUCAAUCCCCAGCAUCUCCAUUAAAAAAAAGAAAAAAAGACUGAGCCUUGCUGCUUUGACUUUGCAGAAAUUGGACAACACCCACAGAAUCAGUUUCUCUUAACCUCCCGAGUGUAUCUCCUUCCUUUGGGACCCUGUGGCCCUCCUGAUUAAUGCUCCCAUUUCCCAGAUGGUGAAACUGAGGCCCAAGAAGGAAAAGCUAUUUGCUAGAAUCCCUUGGAGGGAAUGGAAGCAAGGAGGACAGUUUGAACAGAGCACGUGCUUCUCUAAGACUUUAUUUCUGGGCUUAGGGGAAGGGACAAAAAAGGGGAAAAACCAACUUUCUCUACCAAUGGGAAGGCGGGGUCAACAUUGUGCCACUAGGGGGCACUGUGUACAGGAAAAGGUUCUAGGGGGGCCUGGACUCCUGGGGCUGAGAGAGGAGGGACCUGGGGGUCUAGACUCCUGGAACAGAGGGAGGAAGGCACUGGGAACCCAAACUCCUGAAUUCCUUCAGCAGCAUAUAUUUGGGGGUUUCAGUUUCAUGGGUCCCAGUCCCAGGAGUUAACUGGCCUGGAUGGUUUUCUGUAUCCAGUCCGUGAAGUUGCAGAGGUUGGUGUAGACGCCGGGCACGGAGGGUUGGCCACACGGGGCUUGUCCAAAGGACACGAGGCCCUGCAGGUACCCAUUGCAGACCAGGGGACCCCCAGAGUCACCCUGUUGUGGAGAGACGGAGAAUGAGAAUCCAAAACACAGAGAGGUGGAGAUAAACGUGAGCUCAGAGAGGAACCAAAUGAGGAGAGACAAAGACAGGAAAGAAAGAAAGAAAAAAAAAAAGAAUAGCAACAUGUCCC